rnacentral:rRNA from 1 species
GAUGAACGCUGGCGGCGUGCCUAAUACAUGCAAGUCGAGCGGACGGACGAGAAGCUUGCUUCUCUGAUGUUAGCGGCGGACGGGUGAGUAACACGUGGAUAACCUACUUAUAAGACUGGGAUAACUUCGGGAAACCGGCGCUAACCCCGUAUAAUAUUUUGAACCGCGUGGUUCAAAAGUGAAAGACGGUCUUGCUGUCACUUAUAGCUGGAUCCGCGCUGCAUUAGCUGGUUGGUAAGGUAAUGGCUUACCAAGGCAACGAGGCAUUGCCGACGUGAGAGGGUGAUCGGCGGCACGGGAACUUAGACGCGGACAUGGGGACUACGAGAGGGAGCAGUAGGCUACGUGCCGCAGUAGGCGGAAGCCUGACGGAGCAAGGGCGCGUGUGUGAUGAAGGUCUUCGGAGCGGGAUACUGUGUUAUGAGGGAAGAACAGAUGUGGAAGGAAACGAGCACAGAGUGACGGUAACUAAUCAGAAAGCAACGGCUAACUACGUG